GAGCCUCCUGCAAAAGUUUGCCGGCUUCCGCGGUGAUGGAUCACCGUUUCAGUGGCAUUUAAAUCCCCGGCGCUCCGCCGUCUAGGUGACGCGCAGUCGCCCCCCCAGGCAGCCCAGGCGGCGGCAGCUGCUGCGGCGACUGCAACGGCAGAUUUGAAGUGCUGGAGCGAAGAAGAGCAAAGGCUGCCUUCUGCGCGCGCCCGACUCCACUGCCCGCCCCGCCAGGCCUCCGGGAGGUGGGGGCUGGGAGGCGUCCCCCGCUCCCGCCCCCUCCCCACUGUGCACUGAAAGAUGAACUGGCGAGAGGUCUGUUUUGCCUGAACCCAUCAAGAGCUGGGAGAUUAAUCAACCACACUGAAAAUGUGGAGAGAUUUAUGGGGGAGGGGGUUGAAAUGUGGAUGUUUGAAACAAAAGUGUAUAAAUAAAUGAAUUGUUGAUAACUUAGUUAUUGACCUGGAGACUCGUAGCUUAUUAAAGAAACUCCAUGUUACUCAUUCCUGGAGUUGGAGGUUUCUGUAGGCACUUUAUUUCUCCACUUUCAAGAGCUUGGGCUUGGCCCAAAUCUUAGACUGCCCAAUUCUGUCUCUAUUACCAAUUUAAAUCUAUGGCUUGAACCUGUGCACUGAAAAUCAAAUCUAUUCCCUUUAAAAAGAAGGAGAAGAAGCAAAAAAGCAAAAACAAACAAACAACAACAACAACAAAAAAAACACUUAUUAGAAGCCCUAGUCAUUUUUUGGCUUUCUGUUUUGUUGCUGUCCAUUGAAGACUUUGAACAUGCCGCCUUAAUAAAUGUAUUAAAAUUGAAAAAGAGGAUAAAUUGUGACUAGAAUUUUAUUUACCAAGUUAGACUAAAAGAAGAAAAAGAAACUGUUAUGAGCCUUGAAAAAGGGGAGAAAAAUAAGAAAGCUAUUUAUAGCAAAGGAGAAUUUAUUCUACAAAAAAUAUGCAUGACAAUGCAUCGUAAUGUAAUACAAAAAUAAAAAGAAAGUGAAGAUACAAUUAGAUGAUCACUUUCUUGCAGGUCUCAUAUUGCUCUCAGGAAAUCACAUAAAGGGUGGUUGAGUUAGGUUUAAAACAACUAAAACUCCAAAAUAAUCUGUAAAAGAUUUCUCUGUUUGCAACUGGGUCAGGGAAUCACUAAACAGAAAAUCCUCCACAUUUAAAGGAGGGAAGGGGUAGGUCAAGAAGAAAA